UACGUAGGGUGCGAGCGUUAAUCGGAAUUACUGGGCGUAAAGCGUGCGCAGGCGGUGAUGUAAGACAGUUGUGAAAUCCCCGGGCUCAACCUGGGAACUGCAUCUGUGACUGCAUCGCUGGAGUGCGGCAGAGGGGGAUGGAAUUCCGCGUGUAGCAGUGAAAUGCGUAGAUAUCAAGUGGAACACCGUGGCGAAGGCGAGUCCCUGGACGACUCCUGACACUGAGGCACGAAAGCUAGGGGAGCAAACAGG
rnacentral:rRNA from 1 species